UACAGGGGGUGCAAACGUUGCUCGGAAUUAUUGGGCGUAAAGCGCACGUAGGCGGAUCAUUAAGUCAGGGGUGAAAUCCUGGAGCUCAACUCCAGAACUGCCUUUGAUACUGGGGAUCUCGAGUCCGGGAGAGGUGAGUGGAACUCCGAGUGUAGAGGUGAAAUUCGUAGAUAUUCGGAAGAACACCAGUGGCGAAGGCGGCUCACUGGCCCGGUACUGACGCUGAGGUGCGAAAGCGUGGGGAGCAAACAGG
rnacentral:rRNA from 1 species